AAGUCUUUAAUCUCUAGAGUGGGUUGGGAUUCCUCCCACCCACUUCCUCCUGCUGCUCCUACCAGGACGCUUUUUCCAUCAGCCUUUGCCUUGGACAAAGAGUACGCACCCACUGCUCUGUACAAAAGGGUGGGUUUGCCAUGCUCAGAGUCGCUUGCGUUGAAGGACAAAGAGCUCUUGGUGCGCCAUUCAUUGCGGUGGGGAAAAAAGCUUAAAAUUCAGCAAAACCCUGAGAAGAUGAGAAAAGACCC